UACGGGGGGAGCAAGCGUUGUUCGGAUUUACUGGGCGUAAAGCGCACGUAGGCGGCUUUGUAAGUUAGAGGUGAAAGCCCGGGGCUCAACUCCGGAAUUGCCUUUAAGACUGCAUCGCUUGAAUUGUGGAGAGGUAAGUGGAAUUCCGAGUGUAGAGGUGAAAUUCGUAGAUAUUCGGAAGAACACCAGUGGCGAAGGCGACUUACUGGACACAUAUUGACGCUGAGGUGCGAAAGCGUGGGGAGCAAACAGG
rnacentral:rRNA from 1 species